GCAGAAGAGGAAAUCAGAAAGUUGAAGCAUGAGGGCGAUUGAAGUGAUAGAAGUUCUCUGACACUGGCUUAAGGGCCGAGGAGGCCUUGUGACAAGGAAUGUAGGUGGCCUCUAGGUGCUGAGAAUGAUCCCUCAUUGACAGCCAUCAAGAAAACGGGGACCUCGCUCCUACAACUAUAAGGAAAUGAAUUCUGCCAACAACCAGUGAGCUGGAGAGGACCCCACGUCCCAGAGGAGACCUCAGCCCUGGCUGGCACCUUGAUUUCAGCCCUCUGAGGCCCCAAGAAGAGAAUCCAGCCACACUAUGCCUGGAUUUUUGACCUACAGAAACUAAGACUCUGGAACACCAAAUGUUCAGAAAUAUCCAGUUUCUACUUUGACUUGUUACCAAACCACUGGCAAGAUCUGGAACUACGGAAACAUUCAGGGUG
rnacentral:lncRNA from 1 species